AAGGUUAUACUUUUAGGGAUCAUUUCUAUAGUAUGUUGCUAUAGAAGUUUCCCUGAUCAUAUAGAGUACCAGAAGAUUGGUUGUAAUAGUC
rnacentral:snoRNA from 1 species